CCACUUCUCCCAUACGCUCAGAGACGUCUCUCUCUCUGUUCUCUCGCUAUUGGCCCGGGUUGGCUCUGAGCUCUGUGGCCUGCUGCAGGUGAGGUAUGACCCGGCCCUGCCGACUCACUGCGGGAAGAUCAGACUCACACUGGCAGCUGCGAAGGGCCUUUUAAUAAGCGCUGGUGGAGACUGGGGGAGUUUUCUUGCAGUGUUUGUUGAAGAGGAAAUUGGUUGCUUAAUGCAGGGACGACAGAAAGGAAUCGAAGCGGGAUACCAGCACAGAACUCACCAUCUACAGAGCCACGAUUGCUCUGGCAGGCGUCAGCAUCAUCCUCUUAGUUACCACCCUCCUGCUGCGCAGACGCAAAGACACCCAACACCAGCAGCUGGCAAAGGGGGACAGCAGAGCUGGUGGUAACACGAGCGAGGAUCUGCACUACGCCGAGAUCACUUUCAAGGCUCCGGCUCACACAGAAUACGCCUCCAUCCGGACCCAGCAGCUCUGAAGAGUCAGAUCUGACUGUGCAGCAAAGGGAGAGGCAGGGAACGGCAGGAGAUCCCUUCAUCAUACAACCUUGGAGGCAUCUCCCAGGGUUAGUGCUCGCUUAGUCAACGCGCUGAGCCUUUUGCUUCUGGACAGCUACUUAUAGAUGACCGUAGGCACAGAUGUGUGAGGCUGUGGGCCAGAUCCCCAGCUGGGGUCAAUCGGCUGUUGCUCCAUGGGUGUUGAUGGGGCUAGAUCCCCAGCUGGUCUGAAUUGGUGUCACUCCUCUCACCCCGGGAGCCUGGCCCACAGGAAAGGAGGCAUCCAAACUUCCAAGUGGUGCCCCACGGGAGUUCAGGUGCCUCAUUCUCUACGGGGCAGGCUCCUUGGAAGAACGACAUCUCCCAGCAUGCAGCACGCUCCCCUCUCUCGGUGCGGGGAGGGUGUUGUAGGAGUCCC